UGUAAACCUCUUUUAUCAAGGAAGAAGAUCUGACGGUACUUGAUGAAUAAGCCACGGCUAAUUCCGUGCCAGCAGCCGCGGUAAUACGGGAGUGGCAAGCGUUAUCCGGAAUUAUUGGGCGUAAAGCGCCCGCAGGCGGCCCUUCAAGUCUGCUGUUAAAAAGUGGAGCUUAACUCCAUCAUGGCAGUGGAAACUGUUGGGCUUGAGUGUGGUAGGGGCAGAGGGAAUUCCCGGUGUAGCGGUGAAAUGCGUAGAUAUCGGGAAGAACACCAGUGGCGAAGGCGCUCUGCUGGGCCAUCACUGACGCUCAUGGACGAAAGCCAGGGGAGCGAAAGGGAUU
rnacentral:rRNA from 1 species